rnacentral:rRNA from 1 species
GAUGAACGCUGGCGGCGUGCCUAAUACAUGCAAGUCGAGCGAACAGACGAGGAGCUUGCUUCUCUGACGUUAGCGGCGGACGGGUGAGUAACACGAGGAUAACCUACCUAUAAGACUGGGAUAACUUCGGGAAACCGGAGCUAAUACCGGAUAAUAUAUUGAACCGCAUGGUUCAAUAGUGAAAGACGGUUUUGCUGUCACUUAUAGAUGGAUCCGCGCCGCAUUAGCUAGUUGGUAAGGUAACGGCUUACCAAGGCAACGAUGCGUAGCCGACCUGAGAGGGUGAUCGGCCACACUGGAACUGAGACACGGUCCAGACUCCUACGGGAGGCAGCAGUAGGGAAUCUUCCGCAAUGGGCGAAAGCCUGACGGAGCAACGCCGUGUGAGUGAUGAAGGUCUUCGGAUCGUAAAACUCUGUUAUUAGGGAAGAACAAAUGUGUAAGUAACUAUGCACGUCUUGACGGUACCUAAUCAGAAAGCCACGGCUAACUACGUG